rnacentral:rRNA from 1 species
GUUAAAUCGACCGCCUGGGGAGUACGGCCGCAAGGUUAAAACUCAAAUGAAUUGACGGGGGCCCGCACAAGCGGUGGAGCAUGUGGUUUAAUUCGAUGCAACGCGAAGAACCUUACCUGGUCUUGACAUCCACAGAACUUAGCAGAGAUGCUUUGGUGCCUUCGGGAACUGUGAGACAGGUGCUGCAUGGCUGUCGUCAGCUCGUGUUGUGAAAUGUUGGGUUAAGUCCCGCAACGAGCGCAACCCUUAUCCUUUGUUGCCAGCGGUCCGGCCGGGAACUCAAAGGAGACUGCCAGUGAUAA